rnacentral:tRNA from 1 species
AGCGGAAUAGAGCAGUCUGGUAGCUCACUUGGCUCAUACCCAAGAGGUCGGAGGUUCAAAUCCUUCUUCCGCAA